GCACCCUUAGCUUAGCUGGAUAGAGCAUUAGACUACGAAUCUAAAGGUCGGGAGUUCGAAUCUCUCAGGGUGCG
rnacentral:tRNA from 1 species